GCUCUAAUAAAUUUGUUAGUCUCUAAGGUGCCACCAGUACUCCUUUUCUUUUUGCGAAUACAGACUAACACGGCUGCUACUCUGAAACCAAAACUAGAAGGUGACUUGUUUCAUCAAUAUGAAACUCAGAAGAAAUCUUACGUAAAAUUUUUGGAUGGAGUCGUAAUGAUAUCUUCUCCUUGGAGAACACAGUAAAGGGAGAGCACAGAGAGCACACAGCUAGUCCAACUCAAAAGGCAGUUUUAUGAGACUAUUAAGAACAAAGAUGAGAUCCCAAAGUAGAGUGGUAUCCCUAAUCUGUGGGGAAAGGCUCAUAAGACCUUUCAGGAACCUGAAAAGGUGGGAUGAACAAAAAUUGAGAAAUCAUCUACUGGUGAGUGCACUGUUAUUGAUGCUAGUGAACCUUGAUGGAAUUCAGAGAGAGACCUGAAGUUUUCAGUUGCAACAGGUAAUCCAAGAUUGUGGAAAGAGACAUCUGGACAGGUGGAUGAUGACUGUUACACCAAAGAUGAUAUCUUCUCCAUUUCUGGAGGGGAAGCAAGUGGAAGCAAACAUUUCUGAGUGCCCUCAAUUCUAGCAGAUUGAUGUGCAAGUGCACUGUUCUUGUUGUGACUAUUUGCCUUGGGCUGCGUGAAGACCCAAACCUGCUCCCCACCUAAGGAGACAUGCAUCUGAUAUUAUCCUGAUUGUAAGGAGAUUCUGGAUAAACGGGAUUCCUGCACAAAUCUUGAAAGGAUCAUUCUACCAGAUGCCUUGAUCAUUGCAGACAAAGCCUUCUCUUGUUCCUGCUUGUAUCUUGAACAAUGGUGAAGAGGCAAUUCAGAGUACAAGGAAGUCAAUUGACCCAUCCAAGGACAUACAAGUGAGACAGUAACUCAGCUGGAAGAUCCCCUCUCACCUCACUCGUGUGCUCUAACUACUAAAAUGUGCACCAACAAUGGCACCUUGCCUUGUCCCUUGGUCUUAAGAGAAAGGAAACACCGUGAGAGCUUAGGCAGGAGCCACCGUGCAGAAGAAUGUGAUGCCAUGCAAAUAGCCAUGCUGGAAGCCGUCGAAUGAAGCAAUUGGCAGAUGCUGGUGGUCGCAGCCGAGCUUGUUGACAUGGUGGAACUCCGCUACUGGGUCGGGGAAACAAGCACAGACUGGUGGGACCGCAUCGUUAUGCAGCUAUGGGAUGACGAGCAAUGGCUACAUAACUUUCGAAUGCGUAAGGCCACUUUCAUGGAACUUUGCCAAUUGCUUUCCCCAGCCCUGAAACGCAGCAAUACUAAAAUGAGAUCUGCUCUGACAGUUGAGAAGCGAGUGGUGAUAGCCCUAUGGAAACUUGCAAUGCCAAACCGCUGACAGACCAGUCAGUCAGAAAUCAGUUUGGAGUGAGUAAAUCUACCAUGGGGACUGCUGUCAUCCAAGUAGCCAGGGCAAUCAAUAGACUUCUGCUAAGAAGGGUAGUGACUCUGGGAAACGUGCAGGACAUAGUGGAUGGCUUUGUCGCGAUGGGGUUCCCUAGUUGUGGUGGGGCAAUAGAUGGAACACAUAUCCCUAUCUUGGCACCAGUCUACCUUGCUAAAGAGUACAUAAACCGAAACGGGUACUACUCAAUGGUGUUGCAAGUGCUAGUGGAUCAC